UGUGGCCCACAUCCUGAACUACGUCGGGACCCAGGUGACGGCUCGUUGGUGUACAGCAGCGUGUCUCCUACCCCACCGUGCUGCACGAGUACAGCGCCUCCUCUCGCUGGGAGGACGCACUGCGCCUCUGCCGCUUUGCCAAGGACUAGUUGCUGUGGGCGUGUCUCGCUGGCAUGGCAAUGGCCAAUAGGGAGAUGACGACAGUGGAGGUGGCCUACGCUGCCAUUGGAGAGGGUGUUGGAGCUGGCAGUAAAACAUAAGACCCAUGUGGACACAGUGCUGGCCUACAGACUCCAAGUUCUUGCAGGACUUUAGAGACCAACAAGAGGUUCAUGCAGUACGUUGACAGGGUAGAGAUGAACUGGGAAAAGAUCCAGGCGAAGGUUAAGGAGAGAGAGAAGGCUGCCAUCACCUCUGUCAGGAGCAGCUUGGCCUCUUGAUGCUGACCCUUGACCCCACACCUCUGACCUCAUCCAGGGACCAAAUGUACAUCAUAUUUUCAAGUGGUCAUUUAUCAAACAUGACGCAGACCAGAAGACAUUCAAGCAGAACUUUGAGAGCAAGCAUCCCAAGUCUCCAAUUGUCCCAAUACUGGUUGAUGUGCAGGCCUAAGUGACCACACACUGAAAUGGACCUACAGCUUGGACACACGAUGACCACGGUUUGAAUGCUGCAACUGAGACGGAAUGAGGGACACACAGAGAACAUGUGUAUGACUGGAUAUUUGUGACAACGACCUAAAGGGGCUGCAGAAGCACACCAGCCCCCAUUUUAUGUUUAUUCCACAGCCAUCCAUCCCUCUACCUACCCCUUAUUCCACACUGCCUUUCAUGCCCCAUGGUCCCUCAACUUCAGACACUUUGGAUCUCUCCAUCCUAUCUCUAUAAACCCACCCUAACUUCACCCAUUUUUUCUAUGCUACUUCCUACAUUGGUUCUUCUGCUGAUUUGAUAACGUCUAGACUAAGUUACAAAGUGUUGUGGUGCACUGUUUUUGUAACUUUUUUUUCACCAGUGUAAUACUGUCCUGCUUAUUUUGUGGUUCAGACUGAAUGCAGUGGUAAAUGUUCUGCUCACAGCUGACAUCAGCAAUAUGGGCCUGUUACAUUGACCAGAAGGGUGUUGAUAUAGCUGCGUUCAGGCAUGGCUUCCUUGUUUUGAGUAAGUUAAGUGUGUUUCUUAUUCUGCUGGAGGUGAGCUAUUAUUUUAUAUUAAACCUACCUUACAUAUCCAGUUGUUUCUCCAUUUGUAACUCACCCACCAAAAAUCACAAUAUUCUGUUUUACAUGUUGUGUUAUUUGUGCUGGUUUAAUUCCUAAAAUGGAAAAUCAGAAGAACAUGUGUGCUCUCUGAUAGUAAUAGAAGUUCAUAUGGUGAUCUUCGAUGUCCCAGGUUUGUAGCAUUGAUUAAUACAUCAUUUAAUCUUUACUUCAAGUCAGAUGUUUAUAUGUUAUGUAUUAUAGGCAUAUGUAUGCAUUGUUUAGUAUUUUUGUUUAUUUAAAACAAUGUCAUUGUUGGAGUUCAGGUGUUUGAUGUGAUUGAUGGGUGACUAGAUGCAUUCCUAUCAAAUAAAUAUGCUUAUUCAUGAUUAUGGAUACAUUCUGCAAUGAA